CAGUAACCACAACAUCACUACAGCACCACUACGACCAGUAACCACAACAUCACUACAACCAGUAACCACGACACCACUACGACCAGUCACUACAACAUCACUACGACCAGUCACGACAACAUCAAUACGACCAGUCACUACAACACCACUACGACAAGUAACCACAACAUCACUACAGUCACUACAACAUCACUACGACCAGUCACGACAACAUCACUACGACCAGUCACGACAACAUCACUUACGACCAUCACUACAACAUCACUACGACCAGUCACUACAACAUCACUGCGACCAGUCACUACAACAUCACUGCGACCAGUCACUACAACAUCACUGCGACCAGUCACU
ensembl:lncRNA